ensembl:lncRNA
AAUUAAAAUAAUAAUAGCAUAAAUAUAAAAAUAAAAUAAUAAUAGCAUAAAUAUAUAAAUAAAAUAAUAAUAAUAGCGUAAACAUAAACAUAAAAAUAAAAAAAAUAAUAGCAUAAAUAUUGAAAAAAAAAAAAAAAAAAAACUCAAAUUACUUUAUUUAGACUAAUAAUGCGUUGUUAUACAAGUGUAACAUGACUAAACAUAAAAUGGUUCGAACACAAACUUAUGCAGUUAAAUUUAUAAUUUAUUAACUUUGUCUUAAUUUUACCAAUAUUUUUCCUUUUGCUCUUUUACUGCUGAUAAUGCUUUUAUAGGAGAUGUGAAUGCAAAAUAUGAACAUAAAAAAAAAAUAUUGAAUAAAUUGGAAAAUAUAUACAAACAAAUAAAUGAAAAAACAGAAACUAUUGAUAAGAAUAGAGAUGCUCUUUAUGUUGAUUUAUUAUACUAUCGCAUAAAAUAUGAUUAUGAUCUAUUUUAUACUAAUGCAAAUAGUAAAGAACAUCACAAUAAAAAAAAAAAUUGUAACUUAAAGAGGAAAAAAAUAACCCAAUACAAAGGGUAUAUUAUUAUUAAUUUUUUUUUUUCACUUAAACAGUAUGUAUUAUUUGUAUUAAAAAUGAAAAAAAAAAUUAUAUUAAAUGAUAUAAUUUAUUACUAUGACAGCAUUUUAUAUAGUAUAAAAUAUAGUAAUGUUCAAAAACAAAACAUUUCAUCAUAUAAUAUAAAUAAAAAUGACAAUAAUAAAGCAUAUUAUAUAAAUAUUGCAAAAGACCAAAUAACAGGUCAUAACAAUGAUAUAUCAAAACAAAAAGAAGAAAAAAAAAAAAAUUUGAAAAAGAAAAACAAAAAAGAAAAAAUAGAGAAAAUAGAAAAAAUAGAGAAUAUAGAAAAAAUAGAGAAAAUAGAAAAAAUAGAGAAAAUAGAAAAAAUAGAGAAAAUAGAAAAAAAUAGUAACAAAAAUGAAACUGGUGGAAACAGUACCAAAUUAGAAUUAAUGAAAACUACAGAUGAAAAUCAUAAAGGAAAACAUACAAAUGAUUAUGUUAAGGGAAAAACAGGUGAAAAAAAACGUUCGAGUAAUAAGAAGAAUUCAGGAAAAAUAAAUAAUAAUGCCACUAUCUCUAAUUGUAGUCAUAGUAAUAAUAAUAUUACUGUAGAAGGACAAAAGGACUAUAUACAAAAUAAAAAAGAUAACUUAAUUAAAGACAAUAAUAUUUUAUUUUUUUCAAAUUUUAUAAGUCAAACUGACAAAUUGAUUUAUAUGAAAAAAAAAAAAAUAAAUAAAACAAAUGAGGAAACAGCCAUUGAUUUACAUCUUCACAUAGAUAGAAACAAUAAAAAAAUCAUUGGUAAAUUAUUUACACUAAUCUAUAAUCGUGAUAAAAACAUCACCAAUAAGGAAACCAGGAAUAUGAACAACCAUUGUGAACUUUCUUAUUUAAAGGAUAAUAUUGAUUAUGAAACAAAUAACACAGUGGACAAAAUAUAUAAUAAAAAUGAAUAUAACCAAGAGGAAGAAGUACAUGUAAUCAUAAAAAAAAAAAUAAAAAUAAAAAUUAUAAGAAAUGAAAAGAAAAAUACUACACCUAAUAAUUCUCCUAAACAUUCACCUAAUUCUUAUUCUUACUUUUCUGCACUGAUAAAAAAAAAUAAAUAUAUAAUUAAUUGUAAAAUUGUAAGCUUUGAUAGAUUUAUUAAAAAACAUAUCCUAUGUAAUAACGAUUCAAAUAUAAUGACAAAAAAAAAAUAUCUUAAUAAAAAUAACUCUCAAACAUAUUUAGACUUAUAUUUAAUUAGACAAUUAUUUCAAUAUGAUCAAAAUAUUAUGAAUAUAAAAAAUUUUAUAAAAGGUUAUAAUAAAAAUUUAAAAUGUCCUAAGUUUUAUUUAUUUCAAAAAAAUGUUUAUAAAUCAAUCAUUAAAAUCAUUUCAAAGUUUAUUCGUUUAAUUGAUGGAAAAAAUAAGAGUCUUACCCAAAAAAUAAAACCAUGUAAUUGUGUACAAGGGCCUGCC